rnacentral:rRNA from 1 species
GACGAACGCUGGCGGCGUGCCUAAUACAUGCAAGUCGAACGCUGAAGGAGGAGCUUGCUUCUCUGGAUGAGUUGCGAACGGGUGAGUAACGCGUAGGUAACCUGCCUGGUAGCGGGGGAUAACUAUUGGAAACGAUAGCUAAUACCGCAUAAGAGUAGAUGUUGCAUGACAUUUGCUUAAAAGGUGCAAUUGCAUCACUACCAGAUGGACCUGCGUUGUAUUAGCUAGUUGGUGGGGUAACGGCUUACCAAGGCGACGAUACAUAGCCGACCUGAGAGGGUGAUCGGCCACACUGGGACUGGGACACGGCCCAGACUCCUACGGGAGGCAGCAGUAGGGAAUCUUCGGCAAUGGACGGAAGUCUGACCGAGCAACGCCGCGUGAGUGAAGAAGGUUUUCGGAUCGUAAAGCUCCGUUGUAAGAGAAGAACGAGUGUGAGAGUGGAAAGUUCACACUGUGACGGUAUCUUACCAGAAAGGGACGGCUAACUACGUG